rnacentral:rRNA from 1 species
CCUACGGGAGGCAGCAGUGGGGAAUAUUGCACAAUGGGGGAAACCCUGAUGCAGCAACGCCGCGUGAAGGAAGACGGUUUUCGGAUUGUAAACUUCUGUUCUUAGUGAAGAAUAAUGACGGUAGCUAAGGAGCAAGCCACGGCUAACUACGUGCCAGCAGCCGCGGCACUACGUAGGUGGCAAGCGUUGUCCGGAAUUACUGGGUGUAAAGGGAGCGCAGGCGGGAAGGCAAGUCAGCUGUGAAAACUACGGGCUUAACUUGUAGACUGCAGUUGAAACUGGUUUACUUGAGUGAAGUAGAGGGUGGCGGAAUUCCGGGUGUAGCAGUGAAAUGCGUAGAUAUUCGGAGGAACACCGGUGGCGAAGGCGGCCAACUGGGCUUUAACUGUCGCUGAGGCUCGAAGGUGUGGGGAGCGAACGGGAUUAGAUACCCCUGUAGUC